CUCCAUCAAAUUUGCAUCGUGGUUCCACCUGCUGUGUCCUUUGCCUUCUCCAAAAGUUUGACCCCUGACCUCUGAAAGCUGCCUGUUGUUGUACUACUUACAUCGACUUCUCCUUUUCUUCUUGUUGCAGGGUGUGCUAGCGAAUGAGAUUAUGCGACUUAGCGGCCACAUAGACGGGCUCCUUCUGAUACAGGUGCUAGCGUUAGGUGUUCCCAGCCCUCCCCGGCGGGUCCUAGCAAAUGAUAUCCCCAUCUUGGAUUUUUCUUACCGAACUGACACCAAGGUCCUUACUAUUCCGCUCUCUCUGCUGAUGGGGGAGGAAUUUGUCAUCACUUGGUCUUGAGAAGCAAAAACAGACAGACAACAAUCUGAAUGAAAGAUAAACAUCUCUGAAAUAUAAAUGGAGGAAAAAAAAUUUGACGAACAAGAUCCUUUGCUCCAGUGUUCUAGUAGGAUCAUUAGGUCCUGCAGGAGAUCUCCCAUAUUCCUUUAUCCAUGCUGGAUAUGUAACAAAAUUUAGGUCGAGUUGGAUGCUACCGGCUUUCAUGACAAGAUUCCCUAGUGGUUUGAAUGAUUGCAAUUUUUCAAAUGUCACCUCUCCCCUCUUAGAGGAGAAUAAAUAAUUUCUGUUAAGGGUGUUGCCAGGAUUCCAAUAAUAUUUCCCAGAAAUGCACAGGGAGUUGGAGUAGACUAGUUGAUCUUCAAGUGCCAUUGGUUAUAUUCUGUAAUUUCAUAAAAUUAGGGAUGGGGGAAAGAAAAAAUGAAAGUACCAAAUGUCCAAACCAAUGUACUGAUUACAUGUUACUGGAUGAAUACAAUAAUUUGACAAACAUGUCUAUGCACUAGUGCUUUAUACAGUUAUAUAAAACCACUUGUAAUAGUUCCUUGAUCCAGACAUUUUGACCCAAGUUUUCCUCAGUGUCAUACUGAUGUUCUCGUGGCAGCCUUAGGGGAGAAUGCUUAUGCAGCUCUUUCUCUUGACAAUAGAUUGCUUCCCAGUUGUAAUCUUUUAUUGAGGGAAUGGCUUAGUUCUCCAUGAGAAAAAUGAGUUGCUCCAAGGCCAGGCUUCUUUGAAGCCUCUUCUCUAUUCAAAUUAGGUAAAUUAGUGACUUGCCUGAAUAGAGAAAUCCAGGAAUAGAGUAGUUUCCACUUUUUCUUUUGCUUGAUUCCUUGCUGGCCCACGCUUCUCUUUCACUUCUACAGGCCUUCCUUCUUACUUUCUAUACAGCUGGAAGCACUGAGUCUAGAAAUAUUUCUGGAAAUGAGGCUUAUUCCAACUGAGGUUGGUGUUCUCUCUAUACUAUAUUUAUCUGCAUAAUUGAGAGUUGCUUCCUGUUCAAAAUCAUACAAAGAUGUCUAAUGUUGGAGUUAGACAAAAUGUUGAAAUGAUAUAACGUGGGAUGCCCUAUAGUGUUACAAAGAUUUACAGUACAGAAUUUUUAUCAGAUGAUUAUAUUAAGGAAAAAAAAUCUUAAGAGUUCAUUGGUUUGACAAUUCGGUAUGUUUUAUAUAUUUGCUUUAAAGCAAGCAGUGUGUUUUUGGCACCGAUUAAAAGAGUUUGUAUACUUCAGAAACUGCUCCUAAUUUCUUCUUUCCAUUGGACAUGGAAUAGGAAAGUCAAGGAAAAGUUGAAAUUGUCGAAAUGGAUAUGAUGUAUGCUAUUUUGGAUGUCCUAAGAAUAAAGGAAUGUUUAUGAACCAGAAUGGGCCAAUUUAAUUCAGACAAUUAGAUGGUUUGUGGCUCAGUUCAUAAAAUGGACCUGCUGUGUGUGAGGACAUAUUUAAGGACAUAUUUUAGUACCUGCUCAGUUACAAUAAAAUAAGAGACAAAAUCAUAUCACAAUUAAUGGCUAUCAAGUAAAUAUCAAUAAUGGACAACAGUGGAAUCAAAUAGAUUACAAAACAGGAAACAAAAGAUGGAGAAGUACUAUCCAACUGGCUAUGAGUUUCCAGAUUUGUAUUGUAGAACAUACCAUGAAUUGCUGGUUUCAAUUAUUCAGGUAAAACAUAGAACAUUAAAGAGAAAGGUGUGUCAAAAAAUAGGCUAUUGAGAAUAUAUAUUGAUCUUAUAGUCUGACUGUAACAGCUUUGAUGUGUCUAAUUUGUACAAAAAAGACUAUGAAUUGCUAUGAGAAGAGACAAGAGACAUUGCAAAAACUGAAUAGAUAUUGAAUAACUGAAGCAAAAAAAAUCCCAACAUUUCAAAGAGGAAAAAAAAAACCUCAAGUGGCUUUCAGAACAAUCAGUUGUUAGAGCCAGGCAAAAAAUGAAGGAUGGAAUGGUUGGGCAGCUAGAAGAACAUAAUAGUGACUGAAGACAGACUUCCAAGGUCAAGCAAGCAAGAAUUUAAAAAAAGGUUUUAUUCUCAAGAACGUCAUCAGAAGAAUAAAUGUAAAAAGAAAAUGUAAAAAGAAGAGUACUUAAGAUGUAGGUCUUCCCCAAUGGGGAAGUGAGAUUAGAGUGGAACAGAGUAUGUUAGUGGCAUUGGGGGAACGUGCCAAUUUUUUAUGUUUUUGAGUUAUUGGUUUUAUUGUUUCUUGUUUUUAUUAUGUAUAUGUUGCUUUAUUCUUGACUGGAAACUGCCCAGAUAGCAAGCUAUGCAAAAGUUUUAAAUAAAUAAAUAAACAUUACAACUGAAGUGGAAAUUCUUAAGGGUAAUCAUGAAAGAGGCCUACAUGGUGCAAAGGAUAUUGAGUAAAAGGUUUUUUACAAACUGGAAUAAAG
ensembl:lncRNA